rnacentral:rRNA from 1 species
UGAGGAAUAUUGGUCAAUGGGCGAGAGCCUGAACCAGCCAAGUAGCGUGCAGGAUGACGGCCCUAUGGGUUGUAAACUGCUUUUAUGUGGGGAUAAAGUGCGUGACGUGUCAUGCAUUGCAGGUACCACAUGAAUGAGGACCGGCUAAUUCCGUGCCAGCAGCCGCGGUAAUACGGAAGGUCCGGGCGUUAUCCGGAUUUAUUGGGUUUAAAGGGAGCGUAGGCUGUCUAUUAAGCGUGUUGUGAAAUAUACCGGCUCAACCGGUGGCUUGCAGCGCGAACUGGUCGACUUGAGUAUGCAGGAAGUAGGCGGAAUUCAUGGUGUAGCGGUGAAAUGCUUAGAUAUCAUGACGAACUCCGAUUGCGCAGGCAGCUUACUGUAGCAUAACUGACGCUGAUGCUCGAAAGUGCGGGUAUCAAACAGG